rnacentral:rRNA from 1 species
GACGAACGCUGGCGGCGUGCCUAAUACAUGCAAGUUGAGCGCUUAAGGUUGGUACUUGUACCAACUGGAUGAGCAGCGCACGGGUGAGUAACGCGUGGGGAAUCUGCCUUUGAGCGGGGGACAACAUUUGGAAACGAAUGCUAAUACCGCAUAAAAACUUUAAACACAAGUUUUAAGUUUGAAAGAUGCAAUUGCAUCACUCAAAGAUGAUCCCGCGUUGUAUUAGCUAGUUGGUGAGGUAAAGGCUCACCAAGGCGAUGAUACAUAGCCGACCUGAGAGGGUGAUCGGCCACAUUGGGACUGAGACACGGCCCAAACUCCUACGGGAGGCAGCAGUAGGGAAUCUUCGGCAAUGGACGAAAGUCUGACCGAGCAACGCCGCGUGAGUGAAGAGGUUUUCGGAUCGUAAAACUCUGUUGGUAGAGAAGAACGUUGGUGAGAGUGGAAAGCUCAUCAAGUGACGGUAACUACCCAGAAAGGGACGGCUAACUACGUG